rnacentral:misc_RNA from 1 species
CAGAGUUUCUAACUCACAACCCAUCGUGAACAUACCUUUGUUGCUUCGGCGUGUCAAACGGCUCCGGCCGGGCGCCGCCGAAGACCCUAAACUCUUGUUUUCCAUGUGUCAAUCUGAGUAAAUCUUGAAAUAAAUCA